UACGUAGGGUGCGAGCGUUAAUCGGAAUUACUGGGCGUAAAGCGUGCGCAGGCGGUUCUGUAAGCCAGAUGUGAAAUCCCCGGGCUUAACCUGGGAAUGGCAUUUGGGACUGCAAGGCUUGAGUGCGGCAGAGGAGACUGGAAUUCCUGGUGUAGCAGUGAAAUGCGUAGAUAUCAGGAGGAACACCGAUGGCGAAGGCAGGUCUCUGGGCUGACACUGACGCUCAUGCACGAAAGCGUGGGGAGCAAACAGG
rnacentral:rRNA from 1 species